rnacentral:rRNA from 1 species
CUUGGUCAUUUAGAGGAAGUAAAAGUCGUAACAAGGUUUCCGUAGGUGAACCUGCGGAAGGAUCAUUAAUGAAUUUCAAAGUCGGUCGGUUGUGCUGGCGUGAUUUGACGCAUGUGCACAUCGGUCGCAAAUCCACACACCUGUGCACCUAUAGACCUCGGAGGUUCGCUGGUCGAGCGGUGGACUAGAGCUCUCACGAGUUUGUUGCCGUUUGUCCGGCUUGAGCUUUUGGGGUAUUUUUACACACACAUGUAUGUUAUUGGGAUGUCGCAUGUGCUAUUAAGCACUGAAAAAGUAACAACUUUCAACAACGGAUCUCUUGGCUCUCGCAUCGAUGAAGAACGCAGCGAAAUGCGAUAAGUAAUGUGAAUUGCAGAAUUCAGUGAAUCAUCGAAUCUUUGAACGCACCUUGCACCCUUUGGUAUUCCGAAGGGUACGCCCGUUUGAGUGUCAUUGUAUUCUCACACCCGACAAUUUUUUGUCGGAGCUGUGGAUCUGGGCAUUGCCGUGGUCUCCACCAAGGCUUGUCUGAAAUGCAUGAGUGUGACCCAUCCGUCUUGGUGUCAUCUGGUGUGAUAAGUAUCAUUCUCUGGAGAUGAGUCCUUUGGACUCAGCAUCAAUGGGGUGGUGAAUGCUGCCAAUCGUCCCGCUUUUGGGACAAACUACCUUGACAAUUUGACCUCAGAUCGGGUGGGACUACCCGCUGAACUUAAGCAUAUCAAUAAGCGGAGGA